CCUCGGGUGGCAGCAGUUUCGAAUCAUUCACAAUGGGCGAAAGCCUGAUGGUGCGACGCCGCGUGAGGGAUGAAGGUCUUCGGAUUGUAAACCUCUGUCACCGGGGAAGAAACGCUUUGAGUUAAUAGUUCAAAGCCUGACUUAACCCGGAGAGGAAGCAGUGGCUAACUCUGUGCCAGCAGCCGCGGUAAUACAGAGACUGCAAGCGUUAUUCGGAUUCGCGGGGCGUAAAGGGUGCGUAGGGGGCGAAAGCCCGGGGCUUAACCCCGGAAUUGCACCUCAAACUACAUCGCUAGAGCAUUGGAGAGGGUAGCAGAAUUCACGGUGUAGCAGUGAAAUGCGUAGAUAUCGUGAGGAAUACCAGAGGCGAAGGCGGCUACCUGGACAAUUGCUGACGCUCAGGCACGAAAGCGUGGGGAGCAAAAGGGAUUAGAUACCCCAGUAGUC
rnacentral:rRNA from 1 species